GAUGAACGCUAGCGGCAGGCUUAAUACAUGCAAGUCGUGGGGCAGCAGGUUUGUAGCAAUACAGAUGCUGGCGACCGGCAAACGGGUGCGGAACACGUACACAACCUUCCUUUAAGUGGGGAAUAGCCCAGAGAAAUGUGGAUUAAUACCCCGUAACAUUAUGAUGUGGCACCACAUUAUAAUUAUAGCUACGGCGCUUAAUGAUGGGUGUUCGGUUGAUUAGGUAGUUGGCGGGGUAACGGUCCACCAAGCCUGCGAUCAGUAAAUGGUGUGAGAGCACGAACAGUCACACGGGCACUGAGACACGGGCCCGACUCCUACGGGAGGCAGCAGUAAGGAAUAUUGGGCAAUGGAGGAAACUCUGACCCAGCCAUGCCGCGUGGAGGAUGAAGGUCCUCUGGAUUGUAAACUUCUUUUAUAUGGGACGAAAAAGGGUCUUUCUAGGUCAACUGACGGUACCAUAUGAAUAAGCACCGGCUAACUCCGUGCCAGCCGCCGCGGUAAAAC
rnacentral:rRNA from 1 species